GCUUGUUCGGUUUUACUCCUCCUCCCAAAAACCGGACCCAAAGCGCGAUACUCCUCCUCCCAAUCGCGCUUUAUAGAUUCGCCCCCCACUGCACACUCCUCCUCCCAGUGCAGUGGGCGUUCUCA
rnacentral:sRNA from 1 species